rnacentral:rRNA from 1 species
GAUGAACGCUGGCGGCGUGCCUAAUACAUGCAAGUCGAGCGAACAGACGAGGAGCUUGCUCCUCUGACGUUAGCGGCGGACGGGUGAGUAACACGUGGAUAACCUACCUAUAAGACUGGGAUAACUUCGGGAAACCGGAGCUAAUACCGGAUAAUAUAUUGAACCGCAUGGUUCAAUAGUGAAAGACGGUUUUGCUGUCACUUAUAGAUGGAUCCUCGCCGCAUUAGCUAGUUGGUAAGGUAACGGCUUACCAAGGCGACGAUGCGUAUCCGACCUGAGAGGGUGAUCGGCCACACUGGAACUGAGACACGGUCCAGACUCCUACGGGAGGCAGCAGUAGGGAAUCUUCCGCAAUGGGCGAAAGCAUGACGGAGCAACGCCGCGUGAGUGAUGAAGGUCUUCGGAUCGUAAAACUCUGUUAUUAGGGAAGAACAAAUGUGUAAGUAACUAUGCACGUCUUGACGGUACCUAAUCAGAAAGCCACGGCUAACUACGUG